UACGUAGGUGACCAGCGUUGUCCGGAUUUACUGGGCGUAAAGAGCGCGCAGGCGGUCGUUCAAGUCGAGUGUGAAAGCCCCCGGCUCAACUGGGGAGGGUCACUCGAUACUGAUCGACUCGAAGGCAGGAGAGGGAAGUGGAAUUCCCGGUGUAGCGGUGAAAUGCGCAGAUAUCGGGAAGAACACCCGUGGCGAAGGCGGUUCUCUGGGACGGUACUGACGCUGAGACGCGAAAGCGUGGGGAGCGAACAGG
rnacentral:rRNA from 1 species